CUUGACCGAGCCCAGCCACAGCGGCUGGCCCGUGGGCCGGUCCUGCCCGUACGUGGCCAGGAGCGCCUGCGCCUC
rnacentral:antisense_RNA from 14 species